rnacentral:rRNA from 1 species
CACGUAGGGUGCGAGCGUUGUCCGGAAUUAUUGGGCGUAAAGAGCUCGUAGGCGGUGUGUCGCGUCGGCCGUGAAAACUUGCAGCUUAACUGUGGGCGUGCGGUCGAUACGGGCAUCACUGGAGUUCGGCAGGGGAGACUGGAAUUCCUGGUGUAGCGGUAAAAUGCGCAGAUAUCAGGAGGAACACCGGUGGCGAAGGCGGGUCUCUGGGCCGAUACUGACGCUGAGGAGCGAAAGCGUGGGGAGCGAACAGG